CUCAAUUGAGAAGCAUGACACUACUUUUCAUUUCGACUUGAAGAUACCCAAACUUUUUCUAUUUUUAAAUUCAGGCCUGCUCAGCUAAGUACCCAUAAGUCUCUAUCCAGCGGUACACUGCAAACAACCAGCAGAAACAAAAAUGACGUUUAAAUAUCAAAACCCGUUUACUUAGCCUGCUGAAUAUACAAUUAUAACCAUUAAAUGUUCUCAAAAUCUGCAGGAUUUAAGUAACCGCACACUUCAAUGAUCGCAACCGCACGGGAAGCCAUGAUCAGAAUAUCAAUAACAAUCAGUCUCCUCAAACGCCUGUUUCCAUGAAGAUGCCAGUCCCUGCCGAAGCUUCAAUCAGCCGCCAGCAUUGUGGUUAAUUUUAGACGAGUCUCCACUGUCCUGUCAACUGAUCUGGCAAUUAUUUCGAUGUUACUUCUGCCCUUGCACUUGCUCUGCGCAUCGAUACGGAUAUCGAUUUCGGUUGCGUUUGAUUAUUCGCCAUGCUCCGCUGGCGAUUUCAAAUUUCACUGUGCGUGGAGGAGCACUAACCAGACUCGAUGUUAUGAUUCACUUGGUCUUGACUCCAGUUUGAUUCGCUUUUGCUUAUCUCUCGGAUGCGAUCGAAUAUUGCGUUACCACUCGCCGAUAGCUUCUGUGCGAAGAGUUUGGCUUUUCAAUUGACUGAUCAAAUUUACCUUGCAAACAUCGAUAUGAUAGCGUAACGAGAGAGUUGAAGACGCACGGCCGAUGGUCAACAAAGAUUGUAGUUCGGGAGGCAGUUCGAAAGAUAUUUUCCAAUUUUAUCGAUUUGCAGAAAGCAAAAAUUUGAUUAGCUACUAGGUUAUUCAUUCCAUUUAAAAUUUAAAAAAUAAUUAUUUUUACGAUCCUAAUAGCAAGAUAGCCAUAAGCCCAGCCUUGCCCGAAAGACCUGACUGCAACACGUGUCUGGUAAUAUAAUAUUUAUAUUAAGUUAUAAUUGUGCUGCCUGAAACUGAAUAGUCAACAACGAGUAUCACUUAUCAAAUUGCUCAGAGCACAAAAUGCAUAAAUAAUAUUUUGGGUGCCCUUCUGGCGCGGUUCUUUUUGUUUACACUGAAAUUAACACCGCGAUAUUUAAGACUCUCUGGGCAGUGCAUGGGUAUGCGGUGGUCGAGCUCGCAGCGUUUUCAUCGGCCA